rnacentral:rRNA from 1 species
UGGGGAAUAUUGGACAAUGGGCGAAAGCCUGAUCCAGCCAUGCCGCGUGAGUGAUGAAGGCCCUAGGGUUGUAAAGCUCUUUCAGCGGGGACGCGGUACCCGCAGAAGAAGCCCCGGCUAACUUCGUGCCAGCAGCCGCGGUAAUACGAAGGGGCUAGCGUUGUUCGGAAUCACUGGGCGUAAAGCGCGCGUAGGCGGAUUGUUAAGUCGGGGGUGAAGUCCCGAGGCUCAACCUCGGAACUGCCUUCGAUACUGGCGAUCUUGAGUCCGGGAGAGGUGAGUGGAAUUCCUAGUGUAGAGGUGAAAUUCGUAGAUAUUAGGAAGAACACCAGUGCGAAGCGGCUCACUGGCCCGGACUGACGCUGAUGUGCGAAAGCGUGGGGAGCAAACAGGAUUAGAUACCCCAGUAGU